rnacentral:lncRNA from 1 species
AUCGCCAUGGAGACGCAGGAGAUCAAAGAGCUGGAGCAACAGCUGACCGACGUCUGGACACACGGUGCAGGAGCCGGAUGGAACCCAGAGACACAGACGGAGACAGAAACUGGACCGGACCAGGACCAGGACCAGGACCAGGACCAGGACCAGAGAUCCUGGACUUAGAGCUCCCAGUCUGGGCUCUCUGGGGACUCAGGACUCUGGUUUGGGACUGCAGUACCUCAGUUCUCCUGAGAGGCGGCAACAGCAGGACAGACGUCCCGCAGGAGGGGGGCACUGGGUCUACGCCCCCC